CUGGCCUAUCUGCCUUAAUGUGCGUUUCUAUCAGCUAAAAGUCCCAUGUAGUAUAUCUUCAAAGUAACUUUAUUGUUGCUCAGAUUCAGAGCUUGACAAUUCAGACAUUGCUCCAAAGGAUCUGAAGGUCAGUGUCAUGGGAGAGAAGGCACCUGACAGAAACACCAUGGCUUCCUUGGAAAGUGGUCUCUUUGGCAGAGCAGGAUGCAGAAGCCCCUCCUGCCAUGACUUGCCCUGUAGUUACUUUGUGGGGAGAACAGAUGAGUUCAGCAUACAGGGUUUGACUGCUUCUUCACAGGCACCCAUUUAUGUGACAACUUUUUGAGUGCCUGUCCAACUGUUUUUCUGCUCAUGGAAUCUGUUUCUGGCUAUGGAUUUCCAUCUCAGAGGCAACGUGUAGCUGUUUGGAGUACAGCCAGUUCUGUCUGUGAAUGGACAAGCAGGUCCCACUGGGAGCGCCUUAGGGAGGAACCAUGAUAUCUGUUUUUCCUGUUGUCUGGCACUGGACAUCAAAUGAGAAAGCAGCUGGACCAUUCCUUUGCUGUUGGUGUGUGCCUGGGUCAGUAGAAAGUCUGUAUAGACACCCACUUCUGUUUGCUUUCCAUGGCUUCCAACUUGCCCUUGGUACUUCCACCUUACUUCUCCAAGACAGUGGACUUAGGUGAAAUUGGUUUAGGUGUCUCAUGAGUUUAAACUCUGCUGUUCGGUCAGGUCAGUGUUUGAUUGGGAGUGAUUGGUAUUCUUUGGUCCAUAUGUUCAAUGCUGAUGUCAUGUGAUGACUUACAGUGAACAUAUAGCAUAGUCUACAUGUUGGUCAUAGA